rnacentral:rRNA from 1 species
UACGGGGGGGAGCAAGCGUUGUUCGGAUUUACUGGGCGUAAAGGGCGCGUAGGCGGCGCAACAAGUCACUUGUGAAAUCUCCGGGCUUAACCCGGAGCGGUCAAGUGAUACUGUCGUGCUAGAGUGCGGAAGGGGCUACUGGAAUUCUCGGUGUAGCGGUGAAAUGCGUAGAUAUCGAGAGGAACACCUGCGGCGAAGGCGGUUCUCUGGGACGGUACUGACGCUGGAGACGCGAAAAGCGUGGGGGAGCGAACAGG